AUUUGGAUCAUACGCGUAUGGUCAUGACCAUAUACGUAUACUCAUAUGGUAAAACCAUAUGUGUAUAAUACUCGUUUGGUUAUUAAUGGGCCGGACCAUAUGAGUAUUGGGACCAUAUAGGUAUUUGUUUUUAAAUUACUUUAUAAAAGUUUCAAUAAUACAAAAACUUUAUCUAAAAAAAAACAAUGAUGGUUACAUGACAAUGUAUUAUUUUUAUAAUUAAAAUACUACGUAAAAAUUAAAUAGUGAUGCCAUAGUGAG
rnacentral:lncRNA from 1 species